rnacentral:rRNA from 1 species
UACGUAGGGCGCAAGCGUUAUCCGGAAUUAUUGGGCGUAAAGAGCUCGUAGGCGGCUUGUCGCGUCUGCCGUGAAAGUCCGGGGCUCAACUCCGGAUCUGCGGUGGGUACGGGCAGACCAGAGUGAUGUAGGGGAGACUGGAAUUCCUGGUGUAGCGGUGAAAUGCGCAGAUAUCAGGAGGAACACCGAUGGCGAAGGCAGGUCUCUGGGCAUUAACUGACGCUGAGGAGCGAAAGCAUGGGGAGCGAACAGG